ACGGCAUGCUUGAGACACUACCUAACUUGAGACCGGGAGGAGUCAGAGGUAUUCCAGGGGGAGCGGUAAAAUGUGAUAAUCCCUGGAGGAUCACCUAUGGCGAAGGCAUCUGACCAGAACGGAUCUGACGGUGAGGGACGAAGGCUAGGGGAGCGAUCCGGAUUAGAUACCCGAGUAGUCCUAGCAGUAAACGCUGCGAGCAAGGUGUUGCGCCUCUCAUGAGGAGGCGCAGUGUCGAAGAGAAGUCGUUAAGCUCGCCGCCUGGGAAGUACGGUCGCAAGACUGAAACUUUAAGGAAUUGGCGGGGGAGCACCACCAGGGGUGCGGCGUGCGGCUUAAUCUAACUCCACGCAGAGAACCUCACUAGAAGCGACAGCAGGAAGAAGGUCAGUCUGAAGGGCUUACCCGACGCGCUGAGAGGUAGUGCAUGGCCGCCGUCAGCUCGUGCCGUAAGGUGUCCAGUUAAGUCUGGCAACGAGCGAGACCUAUACUCACUAUUGCUAACAGCAACAUGUUGGACUGAGCACAUUGUGGGAACUGCCUUGGAAACAAGGAGGAAGGUGUAGGCAACGGUAGGUCUGUAUGCUCCGAAUCUUCUAGGCUACACGCGCGCAACAAUGGUAAUGGCAAUGGGCUGCGACUCCGAAAGGAGGAGCUAAUCCUCGAAACAUUACCUCAGUUCGGAUUGCGGGUUGCAACUCACCCGCAUGACGCCGGAAUCCCUAGUAAUCGGACGUCAUCAUCGUCCGGUGAAUAUGUCCCUGCUCCUUGUACUCACCGCCCGUC
rnacentral:rRNA from 1 species